GGCCAUAGCUCAGUGGUAGAGUUUAUGCCUUACAUGCAGAAGAUCUCAGGUCCCAGGUUCAAUCCCUGGCAUCUUCA